CACGGGGUUGCGAGCGUUGUCCGGAAUUACUAGGCGUAAAGGGCAGGCAGGCGGAUCCAUAAGUUUAUCGUUUAAGGCGUCGGCUUAACCGGCGUAGGGCGGUAGAUACUGUGGAUCUGGAAUGCGGUUGGGGAAGACAGAAUUCCUGGUGUAGCGGUGGAAUGCGCAGAGAUCAGGAGGAAUACCGAAGGCGAAGGCAGUCUUCCAAGCCGUUAUUGACGCUCAACUGCGAAGGUGUGGGUAUCAAACAGGAUUAGAUAUCCGCGUAGUCCCU
rnacentral:rRNA from 1 species